AUCAGAACCCUGACAUACAUGAAGAACGGCCAAGAGGGAGCAUUCUUCGUUUCACUUUAUUAAUCAUGAACCCUGACAUACAUUUAGCUGAAACCAAUCUUACCAGAUUGGACGUACAAACUAGAGGCAAAGAUACAUGUCCAUCAACACAUUUAUUUUGUUUGAAUAUCACCGAGCUAACUUACAGUAACGAACAUGAACACAAUUAUUCAUGCACUCAUGUGCAUGCUUGUAAUUCAAUCGCCGAGCCAGGUGGGCAAUUUAGAGUGCAUGUUGGGAAAUUUUCUUGGCAUUCCUUAAGGUUGCGCCAACACGGCGCUUUGCCCGGACGUGAGACGUAGUAGUAGCACCCUUUGGAACCGGUUUCUCUACUGGGAUCGUCCCAGUUCCUUGGGAUGCACAUUUUCACGUUGAUUUUGCCUUCAUGUAAUGGUGAAUCAUGAUAUUAGUAGCCUAUCAAAUAGACAAUAGAUGCAGUGUUCCUUAGUGCACAGUGUGGCAAUUGUUUUCUCCAGACAAUGAACAGAACAGUAAGAAUGCAGUAUAUGUAUGCUUACACUGUCCAACUGUUGCGAGAUACCCGAUAAGCAGAAGAGUAAUCAGCCUGCUCCCCUUCAUAGUUGUUCUUCACCUCUUUUCCUGAACUAAUGAACCAUACGAGAGUUAGAUCCAGGAUAAUGGUCAUGCCCCCUCUCAACUUCUAUAGAAGCUACAGUACUAUAAUAUCUUGGCUAAAAGAAAGACUAGCAAAUUCAGUACAUGACUGGCAAGUGAGAAAUGGCUGUGCUAACACUUGGCAGAUCGCACGACUGUAGCGCGCAUAUACAGAUCAAGUUCUUAACCAUUGAUGUAUAUGUAUAGUAAGAUGUGUACAUGAUCCUUGUAAGGAAUGUUCCCAAUUAUAAAUGCACUCAAGCCAGCAAGAUAUUUUUACCUAUGUGGUAAUGAAGCGGAGGCGCGUUGCGGUCAUCGAUCGAGCUCGAUCAGGCCGUCGCUGGAGUUGAUGACCCGCAGGAGCUCGAGGGACUGACGGAGCAUAGGAGGAAGGAGGCUUGGAGGAGAGUGGAGAGAAAUCGUGGUGAUAAAUAGAGAGGAUUUGGAGGGGAAGGACUUUGGGCUCCAG
rnacentral:lncRNA from 1 species